GACGAACGCUGGCGGCGUGCUUAACACAUGCAAGUCGAACGUGAUUUUUGUGGAAAUUCUUUCGGGAAUGGAAAUGAAAUGAAAGUGGCGAACGGGUGAGUAACACGUGAGCAACCUACCUUACACAGGGGGAUAGCCGUUGGAAACGACGAUUAAUACCGCAUGAGACCACAGAAUCGCAUGAUAUAGGGGUCAAAGAUUUAUCGGUGUAAGAAGGGCUCGCGUCUGAUUAGCUAGUUGGAAGGGUAAAGGCCUACCAAGGCGACGAUCAGUAGCCGGUCUGAGAGGAUGAACGGCCACAUUGGAACUGAGACACGGUCCAAACUCCUACGGGAGGCAGCAGUGGGGAAUAUUGCACAAUGGGGGGAACCCUGAUGCAGCGACGCCGCGUGAGCGAAGAAGGUUUUCGAAUCGUAAAGCUCUGUCCUAU
rnacentral:rRNA from 1 species